rnacentral:rRNA from 1 species
AUGAAAUCAGAGAAAGGUAUGUUGGUUGUCUUGAACUCCAUUAAUUUGGGCUCUUGGGUGCAGUUGUACCAGAGCUCAUUACUAAACGAUUAUUUGCAUCCUUGUAUAUACCAACUGAUCAAUCCAGUGCCACCAGCAGUAUGUGCCAACAUAGGAAAGAAUCCAAAAGUAUUUGUCUAUCUGCUUCAUAUUCAUAGCCAGCAGGCCCAACUCCAUGUAAACCUGAAAAAAAAAACUGUUGAUGUGUCUCCAUGCACAUCAGUCCAUGUGAUGAGCAGCAGCCCAACUCAACUUGACUCAUCCUUCUUUGAGUGA